CUGGCGGCGUGCUUAACACAUGCAAGUCGAACGAAGCACUUUUGCAGAUUUCUUCAGAAUGAAGUUUUACCUGACUGAGUGGGAGACGGGUGAAUAACGCCUGGCUAACCUGCCUCACACAGGGGGAUAACAGUUGAAAACGGCUGCUAAUACCGCAUAAUCGCACGUUACCGCUUGGUACAGUGUGAAAAACUCCGGUGGUGUGAGCAUGGACCCUCGUCUGAUUAGCUAGUUGGCACGCCACCAGCCUACCAAGGCGACGAUCACUAACCGACCUGACACGCUGACCGGAACACGUUGGGACUGACACACUCCCCAAACUCCUACGGGAGGCAACUAUGGGGAAUAGUGCACAAGGCGGGAAACCCUGAUGCACCGACACCACGAGAGCCAAAAAGUAUUUCAGCAUGUUAAGCUCUAUCAUCAAGUAAGAAAAGCUGACCCUACCUGACUAACAAUCACCGGCUAGAUACGUGCCAUCCGCCCCGGCAAUACCUAUGGUGCAAACGAUAUCAGGAUUUACUGGAUGUAAAUGGAGCGCAGGCGAAAGGAUAAGUCUGAUGUGACAGCCCGGAGCUCAACCCCGGUACUGCACUGAAAAAUGGUCAUCUAGAGUGUCGGAGGUGUAGCUAGAAUCGGUAGUGUAGCGGUGAAAUGUGUAGAUAUUAGGAGGAGCACCAGUGGCGAAGGCGGCUUACUGGACGAUAACUGACGGUGAGGCUCGACAGCGUGGGGAGCAAGCAGGAUUAGAUACCAUGAUAGUACACGCUGUAAAUGAUGAAUAGUAGGUGUCGGAAAGCACAGCUUUUCGGUGCCGCCGCAAACGCAUUAAGUAUUCCACAUGGGGAGUACGUUGGCAAGAAUGAAACUCAAAGGAAUUGACGGGGACCCGCACAAGCGGUGGAGCAUGUGGUUUAAUUGGAAGCAACGCGAAGAACCUUAGCAAGUCUUGACAUCCUUCUGACCGGACAGUAAUGUGUCCUUUCAUUCGGGACAGAAGUGACAGGUGGUGCAUGGUUGUCGUCAGCUCGUGUCGUGAGAUGUUGGGUUAAGUCCCGCAACGAGCGCAACCGUUAUCCCCAGUAGCCAGCGGUUCGGCCGGGCACUCUGAGGAGUCUGCCAGGGAUAACCUGGAGGAAGGUGGGGAUGACGUCAAAUCAUCAUGCCCCUUAUGACUUGGGCUACACACGUGCUACAAUGGCGUAAACAAAGGGAAGCAAGACCGUGAGGUGGAGCAAAUCCCAAAAAUAAAGUAUCAGUUCGGACUGUAGUCUGCAAUCCGAAUACAGGAAGCUGGAAUCGGUAGUAAUUGCAGAUCAGAAUUCUGCGGUGAAUACGUUACCGGGUUUUGUACACACCGCCCGUCACACCAUGGGAGCUGGAAAUGCCCGAAGUCAGUGACCCAACCGCAAGGAGGGAGCUGCCGAAGGCAGAUUCGAUAACUG
rnacentral:rRNA from 1 species